CCAAUCUCGGCAAGGCGGUCACGCCGCACGCCAUUCUCGAAGUGCGAACGGGCAACGGCGAAGUUGUCUGGCGCUUCGAUCGCGACGGCCCCAAGCCACGGCAGGUGCUGUCGCCGGAGGUGGCGAGGGACAUGAACUUCAUGCUGAACAAAGUGGUGGAAGAGGGCACCGGCAAACGCGCCAUUCUCGAUGGCAUCAAAGCCGCGGGCAAGACCGGCACCACCAACGGUUUCCGCGACGCCUGGUUCGUUGGCUACACCGGCAAUUACGUCUGCGGGAUUUGGAUGGGGAACGACGAUUACCAAUCGACCAAACGCAUGACCGGCGGCACCUUGCCGGCCCGCACCUGGCACCAGAUCAUGGCCUAUGCUCAC
rnacentral:misc_RNA from 1 species